rnacentral:rRNA from 1 species
UCCGUAGGCGGGCGAUUAAGUCAGAAGGUGAAAUCCCACAGCUCAACUGUGGAACUGUCUUUGAUACUGGUUGUCUUGAGUUACAGUGAAGUAGAUAGAAUAUGUAGUGUGGCGGUGAAAUGCAUAGAUAUUACAUAGAAUACCGAUUGCGAAGGCAGUCUACUAACUGUGAACUGACGCUAAGGGACGAAAGCGGUGGGGAGCGAACA